rnacentral:rRNA from 1 species
AUGUACAUUGAUCAUGUUAGUGCAGCAGCGCAGUCAGGCAGCAAGCACACCCGCCUGUCAUCUCCCUCCAUCUUGCUGCUGCUGCUGCAGCACGGUGAAGUGGAACUCAAUCUGCAGCCGCCGGUGCGGCGCGCCGGCGUCGGCGCACCCGCUCUGCUCGAUGUGCAGCUCCUCCCUCAGCGGGAUGGCGGCCAGGAACCUCUUGAUGAACUCGCCGCAGCACUCCUUGCCGGUGGCGACCACCACCUCCUCCGCCGCCUCGGACGACGGCGACGGCAUGGCGCGCAUCUCCGACGUGGCGUCGAACCUGAGCAUGUAGGCCUUGUCGCAGCCCUCGAAGAGCCGCUCGCCGAGCGUGUCCACCACGUAGUAGCAGUCGCUCUCCGCCUUGAGCACGAAGAAGUGGUCGUUCCAGCUGACGAUGUACACGUCGGCCUCGCCCGGGGCGCGCUCGCCGGCGCCGGCGCUGAUCUCGCGCCAGAUGUCGUCGAACGACAUGGCGCCCGACAGCGACGCGAAGCUCUCCGGCUGGAAGAAGCCGACGAAGGCCCUGUCGUGCUCCACGGCGAUGGGCCGCGUCCGCGCCGCCAGCACCGUCUCCAGGUCGAAGUGCCGGUUGGGGAACUGCGCCAUGUGCGCCUCGUCGUCGCAGAGCCGCCUCCACUCCGACGAGCCGUCCCGGAUGAGCGCGUCCAGCUCCGCCCGGGUCGGCAUCAGCGGGUGGUUGGCGUGGAGCGCCGCCGCCAGCACGGCCACCAGCGCCGUGCACGCGCUCUCGCCGCCGGCGCUGUCGUCGCGCUGGUCGAUGGACGCGAAGAAGACAGGCGUCCGGAGCCGCGUCUCCGAGUCCCUGCUCGUGAACUCGCGCGCCUCCCAGGCAUCGUCGUCGUCCCCCACGCAGCAUUUGGCGACGGGCAUCUCCUGGGAGAGCGACUCCCGGCUCCGCCGCCGCCACGGCAGGAACCGGCGCUUGGACGUGGACCCGGGCUCCGGGCUGGCGCCGCCGCUGGUGCUGGUGCUGGCGCUGCUCAGGCUGACGGUGCUGCUGCUGCUGCUCAUGCCACCACUGCUGACGCUGCUGGUGUCCGAGUUGCGCUUGUUCCGGUACACCGCCACCCUGCCCUGCUUCUCGGCGAGGUCGAGCAGCUGCUUCAGGUCAAGAACCUCGUGGUAGGUGGAGCCCCUGUGGAUCUCCCUCAUCGUCGGGACCGGCGUGGGGUUCGCCCUCGGCUUCUCCCUGAACGAGACGCUCCUCUCCACCUCCGCCGGCGUGCUCAGGUCCACCAGCUCCACGUUCACCUGCCGUUCGUCAAGCACAAGCACACGAUUUUCAGGGACCAGGACUCCAUUGAUGCACUGAAUUUAUAA